ensembl:lncRNA
CAGGACACCGCCUCUCAGAUGCCUCUGAGGAGCUAUUCUGAAGAGGUGGGGAGAGUCAAUUACACACCCACACCUUGCUGUCAGGCAGCUCUCACUGGUGUUCCCAACUCCUGCCUGCACAUGUCAGUAUUUGUAUCCACCAGGGUCCAAUUAGGAGAGAGAAAUCACCGUGUGAUCUGAACAUGAGAAGUUCAAGCAAUAUGGAGCCACUGUGUUGCACAGCUGAAAGUAUCAGGAUGUAUGUCAACUGUACUUCAGUUAACAAACAAAAAAGGACUUGGAGUAGUGAACCCCUACACAAAUGCUUAGCAAUUCUUCAUGGGUGUGACCAUUCUCUUUUCAUGGGUGAUGCUAUGAAUUAAUAAUGAACACUACAAGUACAUCAUAGAUCAGAAUUAAGAAAACUCAGAAAUGAAGACGUGAAACUCCCAAAAGAAUAAGAAAAUAUUGAAAAGUACAUGUAAAUGAAAUUUAAACAGAAACCUGCUAUCAAAUAAUGCCUUGUAAGGAAUGAAACAGUAAGGAGGUAGAGCUUAAACACUGUUUAAAAACACUUCUGGAAAAUAAAUUAAGCAAAAAUUUAUAAAAUAUUUCAUGAGUGUG